AGCAAUUAGAAUCCUUUCACAUAAUUAUCAUCUAAUGUUAUUAAAUAGCGCUUUGGAUUUUCCUAGUGACCAAAUUCAAGUAUCGUUUUCGAGUAAAUUAAUUUACAUGAAAUGGGUCUCAAUUUCAUUGUCAAUUAAUUUGACUUGAAAGAUACAAAAGGAAACAAGUUUAAAAUAUGGCUUGGAAGUUCAAGACAGGUUUCAACAGACUUCUUAUUGUAAUAUUAUGAAAAAUAUGCUUAGAUUAAUUCAGUGACUUAGGUGAUAAGACUAAAUAAAAUAAAAUAAAAUAAAACUUGAGAAAAUUCAAUAAUUGUGACAAUGCAGCCGCGUUACCUUAAUAAAUAUUGAUACAGUGCAAUAUAUACAUUGAUUCAAAAGACACCAUUAUUCACAUGUUGAACUUAUCGUCAUCUUAUCAUCAUUUUUGUUUCCUUUUUUCUUGUAUCUUGAAUUCUAUUAAGAAACUGAAAUUGAUGGAUGAUGCAACUAAAGAGAAAUUGAGGAAAAUUUGGAAAUGUAAUGUCACACAAAGGGACAUGAAAAUUUAUUUAUGUCUACAAGCAAAGACAGAAGAAACCACUAUUUAAUUGAGGAUUACAAUACUUCUCCUAAAUAUAAGGAGAGAAUAAUUACAUUACUUCUUAUACUGGGAGAAAACAGCUCUAUGAUUUAAAACUAGAAGAAUAAACCUUAAGGAGAGACUGAUUUUUUUUUUUUAGAUAAAUGCUCGAAUAGUCCCUAUAUUUUAGUUAAAUUAUCGGUUUAGUUUCUAUAUUUUAAAAAAUAUAUGUUCAAUCACUUUGGCAUACUUACAAGAAUGAAUUAGAAGUAUAUUCAUCAUUAUUAUCAGAACUUAAUGUUUUAAUCUUUCUACCAAUUUGAGUCUACAAUAGUUUCUUACAUUUUAUGAAAUCUAUAAAACCUCAUCAUUUGCUCGCAUGUUGUACACCCACACAUGUCUAGACAAAUCAUCAACAAAUAGAAGAAAAUAAUGGCUUUCAACCAUUGAUGCAGUUUUGGUUGGUCCACAUACAUUACUAUGAACAUAUUUAAGGAUCUUAUGAGUAUCGUAAUUAGUUGAACCAAACUUAACCCUUGUUUUCUUGCCUCCCACACAAUGCUCACAAAACUUCAUUUUACAAGUAUUGGUACAUUUAAAAGGCCUCAUUAAAGUUUGUAGAUUUUUUUUCCAGCACGUCCUAGUCGUACAUACCAUAACUUAGUGGUGUCACUGUGUGCCUCAAAAACAUUAGUUUUAUCAGUUGUACUUCAUUUCAAAUAGUAUAAAUUAUGACGUCAAACUCCUUAUAGAAUCACCAUAGCUCUGUAUGUAAAUUUCAUUGUGUCAUCUUCAAUGGUAACUUUUUAUCCUUUAGCUUUUGAAGCACUUAUAGAAAUUAGAUUUUUUCUUAAUGCUGGAAUCUAUCAAACUUCUUUUAAUUCUCUAACUAUUCUAUUGAACAUUUUUAAGUCGAAUUGUUCUUAUCCCCAUCAUGCGGUAAGGUUGAUCAUUCCCUAUUAUAACUGCACUAGAUUCUAAAUUACAAAAAUCCGUAAACCUUUCCCUCAUGGAAUACAAAUGAUAAAUUGCUUCGGUAUCAAGUAUUUACUUGUUCAAAUUAACCACAUAUGAUGCAGGCAUGAUACUUAGUGCAUAGUCAUAAUCUUUAUCUUUACUUGCCAUAUUUACUGCCACUUGUUUCCUAUCUCUCUUCUGAGCUUUAAGAUAAUCUUUCCUCCAAUGACCCCUUUCAUGACAAGAGGCACACUUGAGUUAUAUUUAUGCUUUUUAGACUGCGAAUUCUUUCUACCAUCUUCUUCCUUUUCUCUACCGUCCUUUCUCUUAUUAACAAAACCUCAAAUGAUGCUCUUUUGAAAUGUUUAUCAUUAUUACAAAUUUUCAAAUUGGUCAGUGUUGUGCAAACAUCCAUGAAGAUGAUUAUGUUUUUCUCGUAUAACAAAGUAGUCACAAAAUGGUAAUAUUCUUCUAGAAGUAAGUGUAGUAGAAUUAUAACAUUAACUUUAUCAUUAAUAUAUUCAUCAAGAUUCUUCGAAUCUGCAAGAAACUUUUCAAAUCUUGAGAUAUGGUCGUGCAUUUACACCCUAGGCUUUAUUAAAAAGCCAUAUACCUAGCUUAUUAUAUGAAGGCGAUUUUCAAGACUUUUCAGUAGGUACUUUUCCUCUAAUGUACGCCACAAAGUCAUUGCACACUCCUUAUUUUUCACCACAUAUUUUACCUCCUAUGUCAAACAAUAUCUUAUCUAACCACAGGCUUCCUUGUUCAUACAAUCUCAAGUUUUUUUUAUCUUAGAAGUAUCUUUCAUUUUCAAAAUAGCAUCAAGAUCGAUUUAAAUAAAGGCAUCCAUAACUUCACGCCUCAAACUUUUCAACAUCGAUCUUUUGGCCUCCUAUAACAUGUGUUGAAUGGUAACGUGACAAGUCUCACCUUUCACCUGACAUGUUUCCUGAAAUAGUCUGAGUAGAUCUCUGUCCACUUUUAGAAGUUUUACCUUCUACGAUUUUCUUAAUAAACUAUUCCCACUUGAUAAAUCAGUACAUAUGGAAAAAUGCAACAGGAAAGUUCUUAAGAAAGACAGUUGGAAUCACACUAGUCCCACUUAAAACCCAAAAUCCAUAGCCUUUUAUCGCCUUUGUGACAGAACUUUCACAAACAUGCACAAGUCCACACCACUAUAUAAGCUACUAAUCCUCCUAGGUACAAGCUCUCCGAAUUCGUGAACAGUACCGUACACCCCAAGUAUGAACCUUUCUCUGAUACCACUUGUAGGCUCUAAUGCAACUUAUUGUGUGUGUAAUGUGGAAUCAAACGCACCAAAUAAUCACAAAAAUAAAGGACACAAGAAUUUAACAUUGUUCAACAAUUAUACCUACGUGCAUGGGAGCAAGAUGAAAUAAUUGUAUUACUAACAAUUAUUAAAGUAUAAUAUUUGAGUAAAGAAACCUCACUUUCCAGAAUUCAAAUACACUCAGUACUCCACACACACUUGAAAGGAAAAUCUCUCAAUUGCUCGUACUUUCCAAUUGCUCACUAUAAAAAAAUUCUUCACUUGAAUUAUUUCUUUUAAAUUUGGGAUACUUAGAAUGAAAGAAGUGUCUUCUAUUUAUAGGAAAAAUAAUGACACUAUUGCACCAACCUCGCCCUUGUCAAUUUGACAAAUCCACCAAUAUUUGGCUGAUUUGUCAACAAUGUUAUGCACCGAAUUUGGUCUACAAUAUUCUUGACUUCAUAAGAUGAUUAUGUCGUGAUUAUGGACUUUGCUUGUUCAUGUCGCACUUAUGGAACUUUGGUUGUUCUAGCUACAAUUUUCUUUUUCCUCCAAGCAUUUUCUUGGAAAACAAACACAAAGAACAGAAGGAUAGUACCUCUAGGGCCAAAAGUUUUCUAAUAUUUUGAUGCCUUCAUUUGUGAGGCCAAUUUCCUCAUAGAGCUUUGCAUAAACUAGCCAAAAUAUAUGGCCCCAUCAUGCACUUACGCUUGGUCUUAGUGACUACAAUUGUUGUUUUUUUACUACAAGCAGCUAAGAAAUUACCCAAAACACAUGACCUUAUUGUUGCCAACAGGCCUCAUCUUCAAGCUUCUAAGCAUGUUUCUUAUGACCCAAAGAAUUUUGCAAUUUCCCCAUAUGCAUCUUAUUGGAGAACAAUCUAAAAAAUAUGUACUCUAAAAUUGUUAAGUAUUGAAUAAGUUGAAGAUAUCUGACUAGCAUGCAACCUUUGACUUUGGCACCAAAGUAGAAUGUUGAAUGAAAAUUUAUAUUCUCUUUUAAAGCCCACCAUUGUUGAUUUGUGGACGUUACUUGGUCUAUAGAUUGGAGUGCAAAGGAAGAGUAUUCGAUCCCAUUUUCUUGAGUUCCCAAUCUAUUUGAGAAGUGAUAAAGUCAAUGGUUAAAGAUUGAGAGUAUGUUGAGAGCUUUAAACUCUUGGUUUAAUGAAUGAGAGAUUGGGUGUAUUGGGGUUUUAGUGGUAAGCUAAAAUACUCUAAUAUUUGUAAUCUCCAUUUAACUAGUAAGGCUUUACUUUUCUAUCUUUGCCCAUAGACGUAGGCAAAAAGGCAAACCAUGUAAAUUCUGGUGUCAAUGUAUGAUUAUAAUUUCUCAAUUUCAGUUUAAUUGUGUGUCUGCUUCAUCCAUUAAUUUCUUUACAUUAAAUAGUGUCAAGAUCAAUUAUUUCCAACUUAUAAGAAAAGAAGAGCUUGAUGUUUUAACUGAGUACACGAAAGAGGCAACGUGUGCCCAAUGUGUCGUCUACAUAAGUGGCAAAGAUUCCAUUAUAAAUGCUAACAUGACUAGUAAAAUGGUCCUCAGGAAGAUAUAUUAGAAUGAUGAAUUCGAAGAGAGAUGGUUUAAGAAUGUGAUUCAAGAGAGCAUGGAAUUGGCUGUAAAGCCUAACUUAGGUAAUCCUCAAAUUAUAAGACAUCAUUUUCAAGGCAUGAAAAAGCGUAAAAAGGUUGUUGCCAAGGUGUUUGAUGCUUUUUUAGGGAAGAUUAUUGAUGAAUAUUUUCAAUCCAAUGAUGAAAAUGGAACCAACGAUUUUGUUGAUGUUAUGCUGGGCUAUGAGGGAUCAAAAGAAACCGAGCGCAUGAUCGAACGAGAGCAAACUAAAGCCACUAUCUUGGUAAGUACAAAGUAAAUCACAUUCUUUAAGUAAAUUAAAUUUUCCCUUGCUAGGUAUAAAGGUUUUGCCACAUUUAAACAACUUGUGCAUUGCUUUGAUUGAGAGCUUCCUGAGGGAAUAUUGCCAACUAAAUUAGACAUGACAGAAAAGUUUAGUUCUAUGACUCAUCAAUUGAGCCAAACAUCUUUUGGCUAUUCCAAGUUUUUUUUUUCACUCUAUGGGGGGUUAGGCGAGACCCCUACCUGCCAUUUAGAAUAUAUAAAGAAAAUACAUGUGGAGGGGGACAUAAACCAAAAUCUCCAAUCAAGAGAAAUAAAUAUAACAGUAAAUGAAAUGAUUUAGACAUAACCUAACAUAAGAAAAAAGACUAAUGCAGACGGUGAUAAUAUUUUUUACGAUACUUGCGGCCGACAAGUAAUUUAAUGCCUUUUUUUGAAUGACCGACAAUGUUAAAAUCAAGGCUAGAGUCAAUUCUCUCAGAAUUCUUAAGAGCAGACAAAAAAAUUGUCAUUAUUCGCUAAGUGAUCGUGAGAACUAUCAUCAUUAUCAGUAUGAGAAUUAUAAAGCCUAAAAUCUGUGUUGGAUGCUCGAUGAAGAUGUGUAUUGUACUCACCUGGUUCUUGGAUCCUAGAAUCAUGAGUCGUGACAUCUUGGCGAAUCGGCUCCUGAAUGGAAGUAGAGUUUAUAGCGUUAGCUCAGCUCUCUGUAGGUACAAUUGGAGACCCGUGUCAGCAAUCUGCUUAGUGAUGGAUAGCUCAGGUCGUGGAGUAUCCAAGGUUUGGGGAGUAUGUGACGACAAAAAUUCUAACUUCUUAUUAUCUAUUCUGGUCUGCCAAUUCCCACUGGGCCGCUGGAGACGGAGUCCCAGAUUGGCCAUGUAACACGUCUCAAUGGUAUGGCCAAGGUGUUUGCAGGAAGCAUAGUACAAUGGAAUUUUCUCAAAAAUUACACUCUGCCAAAAUCUAGAAUCUCCUAUACCAAUUCAUAUUCUUGGCAACAGAAGUUGAGUGACAUCAUACUCCACUAACACCCUGGCUACAUAAGGGCGAGCUAAAGAGGCAAUAGCUUGGUCAAUUCACAAUGGCUUACCAAUAGCAGAUGCAAUAGAAAAUAAUGUUUCCUUACAAUGCAUGAGUGGAUAGGCAAGUAAGGAAAUGAAAUCCAAACUGGGACUAUAGGGGACUCCUCGGAACAUCGAAAAUCGGUGGUCCAUUUAAAAAUUCUCAUGGCACUCCCAUUGAUGUAUCAUGUUUGCCUAACCCAUAGGCGGGAGUAGUCCUCCUCAAUAUCCAAUUGAAUUAACACAUGUCGAUUAUCUAAAGGGGACACCUUGAAAGUUCCCUUUAACCUCAAAGUAUUAAAAAAUUUAUGAAUUAAUUCCAUACUUGGUCUAUUAUAGGAAAAUUUACCUACCAAUAUCAGCUUGAAAGGAAUGACCAUCGCUUGAAUUUCUGUAGUGGAAAAUUGCACAUUAGGCUCUCCCUCGAACAAAGUGACGGUCUUGAUCGGAAUCCUCGAGUUGGAUAGGCCGUUCAUAAUAUCUACCAAAGAUAUUUUAGUGGGUUUAUUUUGAUUCAGAUUAGGGACAUAUUUCAAAUCUGAGGCAUAGGAGAGUGCAGAUGUGGGCUGAUUGGUAUUUUGGAUUAAUGGAUCAUUUUGGAGGUUAUUUAAUAAAAGUGUAGAGGGCAUUCGUGAGGGCUGGGUGUUGGGAUUUAUUUUGGAAAUGGAUUGGGCUUGGGUUUGACUAGUAGGAAAAGUGUGUGGGGCAUGGAAAGUGCUAGUUGGAGACAUACAUGGGGAACACAAAUCUUGUGUUGCCGAAAGUGUUCCAUGGGCAUGGGAAUUACCACCCACGUGCAGACUUUUGAGCUGGUGUUGGUUAGAUGUUUGAUGACUUUGGCUGGGUUCUGUGGUGGUUGUAUGCAACUGGCUUUCGGUUGGUAGUUGUAGUUGGCCGUGAGCACUGUCCCAAAUGCUUGCUUGUGAUUUGCAUGUGGUUUUUUGUCGUGUGGGAGUUGUUUGUGUAUGUGGUGAUUGUUGUUGGUUGGUGGUUGUAGCUUGAACCAAAUCUUGAGGCAAAUAGCCAUAGAGUAUAGGCUGGUUUUGAUGGUGUAUAGGGGCUGUGACAAUAGGGUGAUCUCCCGAAUGGUGUGUGGCUUGUGUUGGUUGCGGGCUGGAGGCUGGUGGCUGGUUGGCUUGAGGUGAAAAUCCAUUCACCAAAUCUGGUGCGACAGUAGGGUGCUCUCCCGAAUGGUGUAUGACUUGUAUUGGUUGCGGGCUGGAGGCUGGUGGCUGGUUGGCUUGAGAUGAAAGCUUGGAGUUGGCUGUUGAAGGGGUGGCGAUGACGGUUGGAGAUGGCUGUUGAGGGGAUGACAAUGGCGGUGUGUUUGCGGAAGUUGGGGGCUGUUGGGGUUGGGCUAGCGUUUGACUCUUGUAUUUUGAUUGAGUUUGCCUUUGGGAUCUCCUAAGAAAUGGAGGUUCAUUUCUGGAAGUGGGGGGAGGAGCCGGUGGUGGAUGGUUGCCAUUUUCGUUAGCCGGCGAGAUGAGAAUCAGCUUGUCUCGAGCAAUGCUUUCUCCUCCAUUUUCAAGUGAAUGGAGAGGAGAUUUUGCUAUCUCACGGCAGCAUUCAUGGUCAUUGAUGUCACAAGUGAUUGCCAUUUCUUUUUGUUCACUUACGGCAUUAGAUGUGAGUGAAGGUUGUUGAAUUUUCAAGAGGAUAGCGGCAGUGGACGUUGGUGGUUGGUGUGCAUGGGGUUGAAUUUGAGAUGGAGGGUCUGUAUGAGAGUGGUUUGGUUUGAUUCGCGGUGAUGGCAAUUGGACAUCCGGCGGUGGUUUGUUGUUGAAUUUUGGGGGUCAUUUAGUGAUAAUGUUGUUUGUUUGAUCUCUAGAUUAGCAUAAGGUAGGUGUUAAGAGAAACAAAAACAAAACAAAUUAAUAAAUUAAAUCAUUUGCGACCCAACAAUUAUUUUAAAGAAGAUUCCUUACUAAUAUUUGAAAGUAGAUAUUGUACCUAAAUAGUUAAGUUGUUCGGCAUCAUAAUUAUUAUAGAAGGUUUUGGUAAAUUUUUAAUUUCAUAAAAUCAUGUAACUCCCGCGAGUCGAACUAAGGUGGCCAGCCAAAUUAAACCACUUGAACUUAGAACUUUAACAAUAUAAUUCAUUCAAUAAACUUAAAGCUUAUGAAAUAAUUUAUACGAUUGUUACUCAAUAAUUUUUAAUGUUAGGGCCCAUUUGUGACUGCUAUUGAAAAAUUCAAAAAUGAUUUUAAGAAGUAAAAAAUCAUUUUAAUAGUUAUUUUUCUUGUCUAUCAUUUUUUGAAAAAAAAAAAAAAAGAUAAGAGGGGUAGGCAAAGUCAAAAUCCAUUUUUAAAUCGGGUGACUAGCUAAAUAAAGCUACUUAGAAGUCACCUAGCCAAGCUCCUCAAGACUUAUAUUUGCAUGCUUAUUUAUGUUUGUAAGUCGAUUUCUUUUGACAUUAUGUCCUUAUUAACCAUUUGUGAUUUUACAAUAAUAAAAUAAUAAGAUUUACUAAAUAUAUGUAAUUACUUUCAAAACUCACGAUACCUUUAAAAUAAAAUUUAUUUAACACAUAACGAAUACUUUUCACUUUUAAUUAUUGUUAUGACACAGCUAACAACAAUAAUUUUAAAAAUUAUUAUCAAACUCUCACCCUUGUUUCAUAUAUACAGGUGAGCAAUCUAUCUGUCUUUACAUUACUUCUUUCCCUUUCUCCAGCAGCAAUUAGAAUCUUUUCACAUAAUUAUCAUCUAAUGUAAUUAACUGGCGUUUUGGAUUUUCUUAGCGACGAGUUCAAGUACCGGUUUCCAAUAAAUUGAUUUACAUGAAAUGUGACCAAUAGGAAAAGAAGAGCCAUUAUCAAACUCACCCCUAGGAUUUGGCUUGAAACAUAUAACAAAAAUAAUAAAUUGAAAAUAUGGCUUUGAACUAUCGAUCAUUCCUUAUCCUAAUAGUUGACACCUCUAUUCAUUACUGUUAAGAAUGAUCGUUCAAAUUACUAGGUUGUCAUAGUAAAACUUUUCUUCGGUUACAGCCCAGUAAAAUGUUAGGGAAAUUGAUGGGUGAAGUAGAGUUACAGUUAAAAUGAAAUUGGAAGAAAAUAAAGAAUAAGCAUAAGGAGGACACUAGAAAAUUACGUGGUUUGGCUUUUAGCUUACGUCCAUGAGCGAAGACAGAAUAAAAAUAUUUUACUAAUGAAAUGAGAAUUACAAGUAUUGUAAUAUUGUAACUCACUUCCCAAAACCCCAAUAUACCCAAUCUCUCACUCACUAAUUACACAAAAGUAUUAGAGCUUUUAAUCUCUCACACAACUCAUAAUUUUUUUUCUCUCUCUCACAAAAUGGAAUUUCUCUCAAAUCUUGGAUGCAGGAACCAAAAUGGGAGCUUCCUUCAUAUAGCCAAAAUUGAAUAUUAUUUUAAUAUUUUGUUCACUCUUCUCGUGGCUUCUUUAAAGCCGUGUUCCAUCCCUCUUUUUUUCUUUCCAUUUUAGCGUGCCAACCACCAUUUGUCGAGAUCAACUUUUGCAGCAUCUUCUUCAUUCUUUUUUCUUCUUCUUUCUAAAAUGCAUCUUCAACGUCAAAGUCGUGUGCCACCACUUUUGCUUCUUCAAAGUUCCUACAGCUCUCUUUGAUUUUUCAUUGUU
rnacentral:lncRNA from 1 species